UACGUAGGGCGCAAACGUUGUUCGGAAUUACUGGGCGUAAAGCGUGCGCAGGCGGUUAUAUAAGACAGAGGUGAAAUCCCCGGGCUCAACCUGGGAACUGCCUUUGUGACUGUAUAGCUUGAGUGCGGCAGAGGGGGAUGGAAUUCCGCGUGUAGCAGUGAAAUGCGUAGAUAUGCGGAGGAACACCGAUGGCGAAGGCAAUCCCCUGGGCCUGCACUGACGCUCAUGCACGAAAGCGUGGGGAGCAAACAGG
rnacentral:rRNA from 1 species